AGGUCUAUGUGUGUAUCAGGGCAGGUCUAUGUGUGUAUCAGGGCAGGUCUAUGUGUGUGAGGGCAGGUCUAUGUGUGUAUGAGGGCAGGUCUAUGUGUGUAUCAGGGCAGGUCUAUGUGUGUAUGAGGGCAGGUCUAUGUGUGUAUCAGGGCAGGUCUAUGUGUAUGAGGGCAGGUCUAUGUGUGUAUCAGGGCAGGUCUAUGUGUGUAUCAGGGCAGGUCUAUGUGUGUAUCAGGGCAGGCCUAUGUGCUUCCUGCUACUACCAGCUGCUGGCCCAGUUGCUGUUGUCACAGCUGGACCCAGUCAGAGUCUAAUAGAGCUAAUACAACAUAUUAAAGAUGGCCGCCUCUAGUCCACAUGACAGGUC
ensembl:lncRNA